rnacentral:rRNA from 1 species
GAUGAACGCUGGCGGCGUGCUUAACACAUGCAAGUCGAACGAAGCACUUUAUUUGAUUUCCUUCGGGACUGAUUAUUUUGUGACUGAGUGGCGGACGGGUGAGUAACGCGUGGGUAACCUGCCUUGUACAGGGGGAUAACAGUUGGAAACGGCUGCUAAUACCGCAUAAGCGCACAGCAUCGCAUGAUGCAGUGUGAAAAACUCCGGUGGUAUAAGAUGGACCCGCGUUGGAUUAGCUAGUUGGUGAGGUAACGGCCCACCAAGGCGACGAUCCAUAGCCGACAUGAGAGGGUGACCGGCCACAUUGGGACUGAGACACGGCCCAAACUCCUACGGGAGGCAGCAGUGGGGGAUAUUGCACAAUGGGCGAAAGCAUGAUGCAGCGACGCCGCGUGAGCGAAGAAGUAUUUCGGUAUGUAAAGCUCUAUCAGCAGGGAAGAUAAUGACGGUACCUGACUAAGAAGCACCGGCUAAAUACGUG